CAGAGGUCUCAAGCGUUGUUCGGAUUCAUUGGGCGUAAAGGGUGCGUAGGUGGCUAGGUAAGUCAGGUGUGAAAUCUCGGGGCUCAACUCCGAAACUGCACUUGAUACUGCCUGGCUCGAGUACUGGAGAGGAGAUUGGAAUUUACGGUGUAGCAGUGAAAUGCGUAGAUAUCGUAAGGAAGACCAGUGGCGAAGGCGAAUCUCUGGACAGUUACUGACACUGAGGCACGAAGGCCAGGGGAGCAAACAGGAUUAGAUACCCUGGUAGUCCUGGCAGUAAACGGUGCGCGUUUGGUGUGGGAGGAUUCGACCCCUUCUGUGCCGGAGCUAACGCGUUAAACGCGCCGCCUGGGGAGUACGGUCGCAAGAUU
rnacentral:rRNA from 1 species